UCCGCAGAUGAGCCUACUGCCUCACAACAGC
rnacentral:piRNA from 1 species